AGUCAACAUGCCCAAAGGACGUGGAUAACCUCGGGAAACUGAGGAUAAACCGCGAUAGGCCAAGGUUUCUGGAAUGAGCCAUGGCCGAAAUCUAUAUGGCCUUUGGAUUGGACUGCGGCCGAUCAGGCUGUUGGUGAGGUAAUGGCCCACCAAACCUGUAACCGGUACGGGCUUUGAGAGAAGUAGCCCGGAGAUGGGCACUGAGACAAGGGCCCAGGCCCUAUGGGGCGCAGCAGGCGCGAAACCUCUGCAAUAGGCGAAAGCCUGACAGGGUUACUCUGAGUGAUUUCCGUUAAGGAGAUCUUUUGGCACCUCUAAAAAUGGUGCAGAAUAAGGGGUGGGCAAGUCUGGUGUCAGCCGCCGCGGUAAUACCAGCACCCCGAGUGGUCGGGACGUUUAUUGGGCCUAAAGCAUCCGUAGCCGGUUCUACAAGUCUUCCGUUAAAUCCACCUGCUCAACAGAUGGGCUGCGGAAGAUACUAUGGAGCUAGGAGGCGGGAGAGGCAAGCGGUACUCGAUGGGUAGGGGUAAAAUCCGUUGAUCCAUUGAAGACCACCAGUGGCGAAGGCGGCUUGCCAGAACGCGCUCGACGGUGAGGGAUGAAAGCUGGGGGAGCAAACCGGAUUAGAUACCCGGGUAGUCCCAGCUGUAAACGAUGCAGACUCGGUGAUGAGUUGGCUUUAUGCCAACUCAGUGCCGCAGGGAAGCCGUUAAGUUUGCCGCCUGGGGAGUACGGUCGCAAGACUGAAACUUAAA
rnacentral:rRNA from 1 species